rnacentral:rRNA from 1 species
CCCUGAACGAGCAAUGCCGCGUGAGUGAGGAAGGUCUUCGGAUCGUAAAGCUCUGUUGUAAGAGAAAAACGGCACUCAUAGGGAAUGAUGAGUGAGUGAUGGUAUCUUACCAGAAAGUCACGGCUAACUACGUGCCAGCAGCCGCGGUAAUACGUAGGUGGCGAGCGUUAUCCGGAAUGAUUGGGCGUAAAGGGUGCGUAGGUGGCAGAUCAAGUCUGGAGUAAAAGGUAUGGGCUCAACCCGUACUGCUCUGGAAACUGAUCAGCUAGAGAACAGAAGAGGACGGCGGAACUCCAUGUGUAGCGGUAAAAUGCGUAGAUAUAUGGAAGAACACCGGUGGCGAAGGCGGCCGUCUGGUCUGGAUUCUGACACUGAAGCACGAAAGCGUGGGGAGCAAAUAGGAUUAGAUACCCUAGUAGUCCACGCCGUAAACGAAGGGAACUAGGUGUUGGGGGAAUAACUCAGUGCCGCAG